GGGUGACGAGUGGCGGACGGGUGAGUAAUGUCUGGGAAACUGCCCGAUGGAGGGGGAUAACUACUGGAAACGGUAGCUAAUACCGCAUAACGUCGCAAGACCAAAGAGGGGGACCUUCGGGCCUCUUGCCAUCGGAUGUGCCCAGAUGGGAUUAGCUAGUAGGUGGGGUAACGGCUCACCUAGGCGACGAUCCCUAGCUGGUCUGAGAGGAUGACCAGCCACACUGGAACUGAGACACGGUCCAGACUCCUACGGGAGGCAGCAGUGGGGAAUAUUGCACAAUGGGCGCAAGCCUGAUGCAGCCAUGCCGCGUGUAUGA
rnacentral:rRNA from 1 species